GAAAAGACAGACCAGAAAUACAUUUCAUAUUUGCAAAAGGAGUAUGAGCAAGUCUUAAGUGCCAAAUGUAAUUCAUGUCAGAUGUAAGAUAAUUAUUACAGAUAGAACUAUUUACAUGUGAAGGCAAUGGAACAACCUUGUUAUCAGACAAAAAGUCAUCAUUACAAGAAACAGACACAGAAGGCAAUGCAACAACCUUGCUAUCAUUACAAGAAGCAGAUACAGGACAAA
rnacentral:lncRNA from 1 species